CCUACGGGUGGCAGCAGUAGGGAAUAUUGCUCAAUGGGGGAAACCCUGAAGCAGCAACGCCGCGUGGAGGAUGAAGGUUUUCGGAUUGUAAACUCCUUUUGUUAGAGAAGAUAAUGACGGUAUCUAACGAAUAAGCACCGGCUAACUCCGUGCCAGCAGCCGCGGUAAUACGGAGGGUGCAAGCGUUACUCGGAAUCCCUGGGCGUAAAGAGGGCGUAGGCGGGUUAGCAAGUCAGAUGUGAAAUCCUAUGGCUUAACCAUAGAACUGCAUGUGAAACUGUUAUUCUAGAGUAUGGGAGAGGUAGGUGGAAUUCUGGGUGUAGGGGUAAAAUCCGUAGAGAUCAAGAGGAAUACUCAUGGCGAAGGCGACCUGCUAGAACAUAACUGACGCUGAUGCGCGAAAGCGUGGGGAGCAAACAGGAUUAGAUACCCGAGUAGUC
rnacentral:rRNA from 1 species